AUUGAACGCUGGCGGCAGGCCUAACACAUGCAAGUCGAACGAGUGGCGGACGGGUGAGUAAUGUCUGGGAAACUUCCUGUUGGAGGGGGAUAACCACUGGAAACGGUAUCUAAUACCGCAUACCAUCAGAUGUGCCCAGAUGGGAUUAGCUUGUUGGGGGGGUAACGGCUCACCAGGGCGACGAUCCCUAGCUGGUCUGAGAGGAGGACCAGCCAAACGGGAACGGAGACACGGUCCAGACUCCUACGGGAGGCAGCAGUGGGGAAUAUUGCACAAGGGGGGAAAGCCUGAUGCAGCAAUGCCGGGUGUAUGAAGAGGGCCUUCGGGUUGUAAAGUACUUUCAGCGGGGAGGCGGUACCCGCAGAAGAAGCACCGGCUAACUACGUGCCAGCAGCCGCGGUAAUAC
rnacentral:rRNA from 1 species